GCCUUCUGUGUAGACCAGAGAGAAGACCAGGCUUCUGUCGACAGCGGGCGGAGCGGUAGCCGGCAAGGGGCGGGGCCAUUUAGAGCCCUGGGAAGGCGGAGCUUCUCCUGACAGGGGGCGGAGCCUCCUCAGCCCAGGGCGGGGCUUCGUUGACAGGGGGGCGGGGCGGUUCCUACCUCCCGCGGUGCGCCAAUCCCCGGGGUAGGGGUCGGGGUCAGACCCCAGUGGAACAGCAGGGUCUGGGAUUGGGGAGGCCGGCGCCGUACGGGGUGGGGGCGCGUGGAGGACGCGCACGGUGGAGGGCCCUGCCUCGGCCGGCUCUCUUCUCUCCCCCUCCGCCCCCGGACGGCCGUUGGGGCGCGCGCCUCUCCUCGCACCCCCACCCUGGGUCCCCACGCUCCGCGGGCCACGGACCUGCUGAGGCCCCUUUUCGGGCCCGCCGAGCGGUUCCGGGUUUAGGGUUCACAGGUCAGAGUUGACUCCCUGAAAAGUGCAGCCGGUUUGAAAUGCAAGAUGGCGGCGGCGUGGCGCUGAGAGGCGCGGCGGCCCCUGCAGGUAGUGGCGCGAGCCGGCUCCGCGACCAGCGGGCCCGGAGACUCCGGGCUGCGGGUGGGAACCGGAGUUCAGAGUCCGCGGCCGGCACGGGAAAGGAGAAGUCAGACAGCUGCUUUGGACCUAUUGGUAAUGAUGGCCUGAGCUAAACAUCUAACUAGAAGGGAUACCCUUCCAUUUCAAAGAACAGAAUGCUAAGGAAGCUGUGGCAAGUGAUUGGAGUUGUGCUUCAAAAAUUUCAGCAAUUCAGCAGUAUUUUAUCUGCCAACAAUAAGCUCUUUACUUGAUUGCACCAUGAGAAAGCUGCUAACGAGACUUCUUGAGCACAAAAAUGGACUUGAAGAACCAAAAGCCAUUGUUUUCAAAUGAAGAACACUGAACAGUUUCAAGCCUCGAUGCUUUUUAAUCACCACUGAGCUUCUCCUCAUAACAUCAGAAUGGCAAGCAGACGAAAAUCAACAACACCUUGCAUGGUCCUUGCCAGUGAACAAGAUCCAGACCUUGAGUUGAUAUCAGAUUUGGAUGAAGGUCCUCCUGUACUUACACCUGUAGAAAACACCAGAGCAGAGAGUAUUUCAAGUGAUGAAGAAGUUCAUGAAUCUGUGGAUUCUGACAAUCAGCAAAAUAAAAAAGUUGAAGGCGGAUAUGAAUGUAAAUAUUGUACUUUUCAAACUCCAGAUCUAAAUAUGUUUACUUUUCAUGUGGAUUCAGAACAUCCCAAUGUAGUGCUAAAUUCAUCCUAUGUUUGUGUCGAAUGCAAUUUUCUUACCAAAAGGUAUGAUGCACUUUCUGAGCAUAAUCUGAAAUACCACCCAGGAGAAGAGAAUUUUAAGUUGACUAUGGUCAAACGUAAUAACCAGACAAUCUUUGAACAAACAAUAAAUGAUCUGACUUUUGAUGGUAGUUUUGUUAAAGAGGAGAAUGCAGAGCAAGUGGAAUCUACAGAAGUUUCUUCAGGAAUAUCUAUCAGUAAAACUCCUAUCAUGAAAAUGAUGAAAAAUAAAGUGGAAAACAAACGGAUUGCAGUUCAUCAUAACUCAGUUGAGGAUGUUCCUGAAGAGAAAGAAAAUGAAAUCAAACCAGACCGUGAAGAAAUUGUAGAAAAUCCAAGUUCUUCAGCUUCUGAAUCUAAUACAAGUACUUCCACUGUAAACAGAAUACAUCCAAAUACUGCCAGCACAGUAGUGACACCAGCAGCAGUUCUUCCUGGAUUAGCUCAGGUGAUAACUGCUGUAUCUGCCCAGCAGAAUUCUAAUUUGAUUCCCAAAGUCUUAAUCCCUGUUAAUAGCAUUCCCACCUACAAUGCUGCAUUGGACAACAACCCCCUUUUACUUAACACCUACAACAAAUUCCCUUAUCCAACAAUGUCAGAAAUUACGGUUCUUUCUGCUCAAGCAAAAUAUACAGAGGAACAGAUCAAGAUAUGGUUUUCAGCCCAACGUUUAAAACAUGGUGUUAGUUGGACUCCCGAGGAAGUAGAGGAGGCAAGAAGGAAACAAUUCAAUGGAACGGUGCAUACUGUACCUCAGACCAUAACUGUUAUUCCUACACAAAUUUCUACAGGGAGUAAUGGUUUACCAUCUAUUUUACAGACAUGCCAAAUAGUUGGUCAGCCUGGUCUGGUCCUUACUCAAGUGGCUGGAACAAACACCUUACCAGUUACAGCACCUAUAGCCUUGACAGUGGCAGGGGUUCCAAAUCAAACUAAUGUACAGAAAAGUCAGGCACCUGCUUCUCAGCCUACUGCAGAAACAAAGCCUGCACCAGCAGCAGUUCCAACUUCUCAAAGUAUCAAACACGAAACUGCAUUGAUAAACCCUGAUUCUUUUGGCAUUCGGGCAAAAAAGACAAAAGAGCAACUGGCGGAAUUAAAAGUUAGCUACCUUAAAAAUCAGUUUCCCCAUGAUUCAGAAAUUAUCAGACUUAUGAAAAUAACAGGCCUGACGAAAGGAGAGAUUAAAAAAUGGUUUAGUGACACAAGGUACAACCAGAGAAAUUCAAAGAGUAAUCAGUGCUUACAUCUCAACAAUGAUUCCUCUGCCACCAUUAUUAUAGACUCCAGUGAUGAAACCACCGAAUCCCCUACUGUUGUUACUGCACAGCCUAAGCAAUCCUGGAAUCCUUUUCCUGACUUUACUCCCCAAAAGUUUAAAGAGAAAACUGCAGAGCAGCUUCGUGUCCUUCAGGCAAGUUUUCUCAACAGCUCUGUACUUACAGAUGAAGAAUUAAAUAGGUUAAGGGCACAAACCAAACUUACCAGAAGAGAAAUCGAUGCUUGGUUUACAGAGAAGAAGAAAUCAAAAGCUUUAAAGGAAGAUAAAAUGGAAAUAGAUGAAAGUAAUGCAGGUAGUUCCAAAGAAGAAGCUGGAGAAACUUCUCCUGGAGAUGAAUCUAGUGCACCUAAGUCAGGGAGUACAGGCAAGAUAUGUAAAAAAACACCUGAGCAGCUGCACAUGCUUAAGAGUGCAUUUGUCCGGACACAGUGGCCAUCACCAGAAGAAUAUGACAAGUUGGCCAAAGAAAGCGGGCUUGCUAGAACAGACAUAGUUAGUUGGUUUGGGGACACACGUUAUGCUUGGAAGAAUGGAAACUUGAAAUGGUAUUACUACUAUCAGAGCGCCAAUUCAAGUGGUAUGAAUGGUCUAUCUUCCCUUCGGAAAAGAGGGAGAGGGAGACCCAAAGGACGGGGAAGAGGAAGACCGCGUGGGCGGCCUAGAGGAAGCAAAAGAAUUAACAACUGGGACAGGGGACCAUCACUCAUAAAAUUUAAAACUGGAACUGCAAUACUUAAGGAUUAUUACCUGAAGCACAAGUUUCUUAAUGAGCAAGAUCUUGAUGAACUUGUUAACAAAUCACAUAUGGGAUAUGAGCAGGUCAGAGAGUGGUUUGCUGAAAGACAGAGAAGAUCAGAAUUAGGUAUAGAAUUAUUUGAGGAAAAUGAGGAGGAAGAUGAAGUUAUUGAUGACCAGGAAGAGGAUGAAGAAGAGACAGAUGAUAGUGACACUUGGGAACCCCCUCGACAUGUGAAACGGAAGCUUUCUAAAUCAGAUGACUGAAAUGAAAGAAUUAAAAAAUGAAAACUGAAAAGAAGGGGAAAACUACACCAAAGGAAAGACUUACCACAGGGUUGAGGACUGCGCAGUUUUAGGAAACUAGCUGCCUAAAACGUUGAAGGAGAAUCAAUUCUUCAACUCAAGAUGUCUGAUUUACUGUGAAUUGGCCUAAUCUUUGAUGACAUUGAAAACGUUUUGGGGCAUACAAACUCAAAAAACAGGAUCCAAUACCCAAAAGAAAUGGAACUUAACGCUGUGCCAAAGUUAAACUACUGCAGUUGGUGGAAGUUCUGCAAUGUAAAUAGAACACUAAUUAAAAACAACUUGUAAAAUUUCAAUUUAAAUUUUAAUACAGUACAUUUUUAUUCUAAUAUGAUGGAGACAUUCUUAAUCUUAGACUUUCAGAGGGGGUUUAAUGACCACUAGAGCUUGUCCUCAUAUUUCGUCCAGCUUAAUACUGUGUGUCUAGUAAGAUGGGCUAUAUUGCCUCUGUUCUUUGAGAUGUGAUUAAGCUUAGAACUUUGAGUGACCAAACAUUUUACAGAGCAAAAAUUGUUAGGAAUGGGUUAAAAAAAAUCAACCCUGAUUUAUUACGAUGUCUUAUUUAUCAGACCUGGCACUAAGGUUAAAAGUUGUGCAUGGGUUUAUAAAGUUGCAAAUGUAAAAACAGCCUAUUUGUAUAUGUUGAAACAGUAAGAUUUGUGGUAUCACUGGCCCUUAAUAAUUGGAUGUUUCUUUAAACACAUUCAUGGAUACCACUGUUUCUACUGUUACUUAUUCCAUUACAAGCUGAUUUGCUUUUUAUUAAACUGAAGGUAAUUAAUUCUGAAGAAGGAAAAUAAACUGCCAUGAUAAUUUGGAUAGGGUGAAACUUUGAAAUAAAUACUGCACCAAAAAUGUGGAAAAGAAUCAUAUAGUAAAUAUAUACUUAGUGUUUUCUUACAAUCACGUGGAAAUCAGAAUGUUUUCCACAGGUGUCAGAUCAGAAUUUUUAAGGGUUACCUUUCAGUGAAAUUCUACUUUUAUAACAAUUUCAGUGAAUAGAGAAAAAAUUCUGACCUGAUCAUAAUGAGUUAAAGGUUAGCUUUUCACUAAUGAGUCAUGGGAGUGUUAACUCUUGCUGUAUCAGGAGACUGAAAGUUCAUACGGACUUACAAACUUUGUGAAGACUGGUGCUGUUCAUUCAUGUUGGGAAGAACCCUUUCUUUUGUGACCAUAGGACCAUUUUUCAAAAUGCGCUUUCUUCAUAGAAGAAAUGUUCAGUUUAAUUAGCUUUGGAUUUUAACGUUUUUCUGAAUGACCGGAUGUAGUAGGCUUGGCCAGUUUAUUUUCUCUAAUUUAAUGAAUAAUAAAUAUUAAGCUUUUGGUUAAAUGUUUUUCAGCCAUUGAAAAUGUUAUGAAAAAGCCUUGAAUAUGCAUGCUGCUUUCAUUUUUAUAAACUUUUUAUUUUUUAACUAUAGCUUUAUUAGGAAUUCCAAAAUGCUGCAAUGUAGCUGAUUUCCUCACUCAGACAGCUGGCUUUGUGGGUGGCUUUUUCAUACUACUGUUAACUUUUUAAAAAACGAAGCAAUGUAAAGACUGUAAUGCACUAAGCUUUUUUUUCUUUUACACGUUUAAAAACUUCUUAAAGCACUCUGUAAUAUAAUGAUUAAAUUGCUCCCUUUUUUAAACCAUU